GACGAACGCUGGCGGCGUGCUUAACACAUGCAAGUCGAACGGUAAGGCCCUUCGGGGUACACGAGUGGCGAACGGGUGAGUAACACGUGGGUGAUCUGCCCUGCACUUCGGGAUAAGCCUGGGAAACUGGGUCUAAUACCGGAUAGGACCAUGCGCUUCACGGGGUGUGGUGGAAAGCUUUUGCGGUGUGGGGUGGGCCCGCGGCCUAUCAGCUUGUUGGUGGGGUAAUGGCCUACCAAGGCGACGACGGGUAGGCGGCCUGAGAGGGUGACCGGCCACACUGGGACUGAGAUACGGACCAGACUCCUACGGGAGGCAGCAGUGGGGAAUAUUGCGCAAUGGGGGAAACCCUGACGCAGCAACGCCGCGUGCAUGAUGACGGUCUUCGGAUUGUAAAGUUCUCUCAGCAGGGAUGAAUAAAUGACAGUACCUGACUAAGAAGCCCCGGCUAACUACGUGCAAGCCGCCGCCGUAA
rnacentral:rRNA from 1 species